rnacentral:rRNA from 1 species
CUAGAGUUUGAUCCUGGCUCAGAUUGGUGCUGGCGGCAGGCUUAACACAGCCUGCGUCGAGCGGUAGCACAAGGGGAACUUGCUCCCUGGGUGACAACGGCAGACAGAUGAGUAAUAUCUGGGAAGCACAGUGGAGGGAUAACUGCAAACAGUGAAAGCUAAUACCGCAUAACGUCGCAAGACCAAGGGGCCUUCGAGGCACUCCUUGCCAUCAGAUGUGCCCAGAUGGGAUUAGCUAGUAGGUGGGGUAAUGUGCUCACCCUAGGCAGCAGUCCUAAGCUGGUCUGAGGAGGGAUGACCAGCCACACUGGGAACUGAGACACGGUCCAGACUCACACGGGAGAGGCAACGGUAAGAAUAUUGCACAAUGGGCGCAAGCCUGAUGCAACCAAUACCGCGUGUGUGAAGAAGGCCUUCGGGUUGUAAAGCACUUUCCAGCGAGGAGGAAGGUGGUGAACUUAAUACGUUCAUCAAUUGACGUUACUCGCAGAAAAGAAGCACCAGCUAACUCCAUUACUAGCAGCCGCGGUAAUACGGAGGAAUUACAGCGUUAAUCGGAAUUACUGGGCGUAAAGCGCACGCAGGCGGUUUGUUAAGUCAGAUGUGAAAUCCCGGGCUCAACCACAGGGAACCGCAUUUGAAACUGGCAAGCUGAAGUCUCGUAGAGAGGUAGAAUUCCAGGUGUAGCGGUGAAAUGCGUAGAGAUCUGGAGGAAUACCGGUGGCGAAGGCGGCCCCUGGACGAACUGACGCUCAGGUGCGAAGCGUGGGGAGCGAACGAGUUAGAUACCCUGGUAGUCCACGCUGUAAACGAUGUCGAUUUGGAGGUUAUGCCCUUGAGGCGUGGCUUCCGGAGCUAACACGUUAAAUCGACCACCUGGGGAAUACGGUCAUAGGGUUAAAGCUCAAAUGAAUUGACGGGGAGCCCGCACCAGGCGGUGAACAUGUGAGACAAUUCGAUGCAACCGCGAAGAACCUUACCUACUCUUAGCAUCCAGAGAACUUUCCAGAGAUGGAUUGGUGCCUUCGGGAACUCUGAGACAGGUGCUACGCUGGCUGUCGUCAGCUCGUGUGUGAAAUGUUGGGUUAAGUCCCGCAACGAGCGCAACCCUUAUCCUUUGUUGCCAGCGGAUUUCGGCCGGGAACUCCGAGGAGACUGCCAGUGAUAAACUGGGAGGAAUUAGAGGGAUGACGAUCAAAAGUCAUCAUGGCCCUUACAGUGGGGCUACACACGUGCUACAAUGGCGUAUACAAGAAGCGACCUCACGAGAGCAAACGGACCUCGCCAAAAUUACGUCGUAGUCAGUUGGAGUCUGCAACUCGACUCCAUGAAGUCGGAAUCGCUGGUAAUCGUAGAUCAGAAUGCUACGGUGGAGAAUACGUUCCCGGGCCUUGUACACACCGCCCGUCACACCAUGGGAGUGGGUUUACAAAAGAAGCCGCGGUAGCUUAACCUUCGGGAGGCGCUUACCACUUUGUGAUUCAUGACUGGGGUGAAGUCAUGCUGAGUAACCGUAGGAGACCUGCGGCUGGAUCACACCUCGCCAGGU